rnacentral:rRNA from 1 species
GAUGAACGCUGGCGGCGUGCCUAAUACAUGCAAGUCGAACGCGAGAGGAGGGAGCUUGCUCCCUCUGAUCGAGUGGCGGACGGGUGAGUAACACGUAGGCAACCUGCCCAUCAGUCCGGGAUAACCGCGGGAAACCGUGGCUAAUACCGGAUGAUCCUCUCCACCGCGGGGUGGGGAGUUGAAAGACGGUUUCGGCUGUCGCUGAUGGAUGGGCCUGCGGCGCAUUAGCUGGUUGGCGGGGUAACGGCCCACAAAGGCAACGAUGCGUAGGCGACCUGAGAGGGUGAUAGGCCACACUGGGACUGAGACACGGCCCAGACUCCUACGGGAGGAAGCAGCAGGGAAUCUUCCGCGAUGGACGCAAGUCUGACGGAGCAACGCCGCGUGAGCGAAGAAGGGUUUCGGCUCGUAAAACUCUGUUGUUAAGGAAGAACGACAGGUAGAGUAACUGCUACCUGUGUGACGGUACUUAACCAGAAAGCCACGGCUAACUACGUGCCAGCCGCCGCGGUAA